AGCGGACAGAUGGGAGCUUGCUCCCUGAUGUUAGCGGCGGACGGGUGAGUAACACGUGGGUAACCUGCCUGUAAGACUGGGAUAACUCCGGGAAACCGGGGCUAAUACCGGAUGCUUGUUUGAACCGCAUGGUUCAAACAUAAAAGGUGGCUUCGGCUACCACUUACAGAUGGACCCGCGGCGCAUUAGCUAGUUGGUGAGGUAACGGCUCACCAAGGCAACGAUGCGUAGCCGACCUGAGAGGGUGAUCGGCCACACUGGGACUGAGACACGGCCCAGACUCCUACGGGAGGCAGCAGUAGGGAAUCUUCCGCAAUGGACGAAAGUCUGACGGAGCAACGCCGCGUGAGUGAUGAAGGUUUUCGGAUCGUAAAGCUCUGUUGUUAGGGAAGAACAAGUACCGUUCGAAUAGGGCGGUACCUUGACGGUACCUAACCAGAAAGCCACGGCUAACUACGUGCCAGCAGCCGCGGUAAUACGUAGGUGGCAAGCGUUGUCCGGAAUUAUUGGGCGUAAAGGGCUCGCAGGCGGUUCCUUAAGUCUGAUGUGAAAGCCCCCGGCUCAACCGGGGAGGGUCAUUGGAAACUGGGGAACUUGAGUGCAGAAGAGGAGAGUGGAAUUCCACGUGUAGCGGUGAAAUGCGUAGAGAUGUGGAGGAACACCAGUGGCGAAGGCGACUCUCUGGUCUGUAACUGACGCU
rnacentral:rRNA from 1 species